rnacentral:snRNA from 8 species
AUACUUACCUGGCAAGGGAGAUACCGUGAUCAAGAAGGCGGUUCACCCAGGGCGAGGCUCAGCCAUUGCACUCCGGCUGUGCUGACCCCUGCGAAUUUCCCAAAUGUGGAAAUCUCGAAUGCAUAAUUUAUGGUAGUGGGGGACUGCGUUCGCGCUCUCCCCUG